GUGCCUACGGGGGGCAGCAGUGGGGAAUAUUGCGCAAUGGGGGAAACCCUGACGCAGCAACGCCGCGUGCAGGAAGAAGGUCUUCGGAUUGUAAACUGUUGUCGCAGGGGAAGAAGACAGUGACGGUACCCUGUGAGAAAGUCACGGCUAACUACGUGCCAGCAGCCGCGGUAAUACGUAGGGGGCAAGCGUUAUCCGGAUUUACUGGGUGUAAAGGGAGCGUAGACGGCGUAUCAAGUCUGAUGUGAAAGGCAGGGGCUCAACCCCUGGACUGCAUUGGAAACUGGUAUGCUUGAGUGCCGGAG
rnacentral:rRNA from 1 species